ACUGAACGCUGGCGGCAUGCCUUACACAUGCAAGUCGAACGGUAACAGGCCGCAAGGUGCUGACGAGUGGCGAACGGGUGAGUAAUGCAUCGGAACGUGCCCAGUCGUGGGGGAUCACGCAGCGAAAGCUGUGCUAAUACCGCAUACGCUCUAUGGAUGAAAGCGCGGGACCGGACGCCCCCGCGCGAUGGGAGCGGCCGAUGUCAGAUGAGGUAGUUGGUGGGGUAAAGGCUCACCAAGCCAACGAUCUGUAGCCGGUCGGAGAGGACGACCAGCCACAAUGGGACGGAGACACGGCCCAGACUCCUACGGGAGGCAGCAGUGGGUAAUUUUGGACAAUGGGCGCAAGCCUGAUCCAGCAAUGCCGCGUGCAGGAAGAAGGCCCUCGGGUUGUAAACUGCUUUUGUACGGAACGAAAAGGUUUGGGUUAAUACCCUGGGCCGAUGACGGUACCGUAAGAAUAAGCACCGGCUAACUACGUGCCAGCAGCCGCCGUAA
rnacentral:rRNA from 1 species